rnacentral:rRNA from 1 species
GACGAACGCUGGCGGCGUGCUUAACACAUGCAAGUCGAACGAGGUCCAAGCAGUCGCAAGACUGCGGAAGACCGAGUGGCGAACGGGUGCGUAACACGUGAGCAACCUGCCCUUGACUCCGGGAUAACAGUUGGAAACAGCUGCUAAUACCGGAUACGACCUUCGAUGACAUCAUCUGGAGGUGGAAAGCGCUUUAGCGGUCAAGGAUGGGCUCGCGGCCUAUCAGCUUGUUGGUGAGGUAACGGCUCACCAAGGCUUCGACGGGUAGCCGGCCUGAGAGGGCGACCGGCCACACUGGGACUGAGAUACGGCCCAGACUCCUACGGGAGGCAGCAGUGGGGAAUAUUGCACAAUGGGCGCAAGCCUGAUGCAGCAACGCCGCGUGCGGGAUGACGGCCUUCGGGUUGUAAACCGCUUUCAGUUCCGACGAAGCGCAAGUGACGGUAGGAACAGAAGAAGGACCGGCCAACUACGUGGCAGCAGCCGCGGUGAUACGUAGGGUCCGAGCGUUGUCCGGAAUUAUUGGGCGUAAAGGGCUUGUAGGCGGUUUGUCACGUCGGAAGUGAAAACUCAGGGCUCAACCCUGAGCCUGCUUCCGAUACGGGCAAACUAGAGGGAUGCAGGGGAGAAUGGAAUUCCUGGUGGAGCGGUGGAGUGCGCAGAUAUCAGGAGGAACACCGGUGGCGAAGGCGGUUCUCUGGGCAUUUCCUGACGCUGAGAAGCGAAAGCGUGGGGAGCAAACAGGCUUAGAUACCCUGGUAGUCCACGCCGUAAACGGUGGGCACUAGGUGUG